rnacentral:rRNA from 1 species
AGUGGCGGACGGGUGAGUAACGCGUGAGAAUCUGCCUUGGGGUCGGGGACAACCACUGGAAACGGUGGCUAAUACCGGAUAAGCCGAUUGGUGAAAGAUUUAUUGCCCGAAGAGGAGCUCGCGUCUGAUUAGCUAGUUGGUGAGGUAAGAGCUCACCAAGGCAGCGAUCAGUAGCUGGUCUGAGAGGACGAUCAGCCACACUGGGACUGAGACACGGCCCAGACUCCUACGGGAGGCAGCAGUGGGGAAUUUUCCGCAAUGGGCGAAAGCCUGACGGAGCAAGACCGCGUGAGGGAGGAAGGCUCUUGGGUUGUAAACCUCUUUUCUCAGGGAAGAAGCUCUGACGGUACCUGAGGAAUCAGCCUCGGCUAACUCCGUGCCAGCAGCCCGGUAAUACGGAGGAGGCAAGCGUUAUCCGGAAUUAUUGGGCGUAAAGCGUCCGCAGGUGGCGAUUCAAGUCUGCUGUCAAAGCACGGGGCUUAACUCCGUAAAGGCAGUGGAAACUGAAUAGCUAGAGUGCCGUAGGGGUAGAGGGAAUUCCCGGUGUAGCGGUGAAAUGCGUAGAGAUCGGGAAGAACAUCGGUGGCGAAAGCGCUCUACUGGACGGCAACUGACACUCAGGGACGAAAGCUAGGGGAGCGAAUGGGAUUAGAUACCCC